rnacentral:rRNA from 1 species
ACGGAAGGCAGCAGUGGGGAAUAUUGGGCAAUGGGGGAAACCCUGACCCAGCAACGCCGCGUGAAGGAAGAAGGCCCUCGGGUUGUAAACUUCUUUUACCAGGGACGAUAAUGACGGUACCUGGCGAAAAAGCAACGGCUAACUACGUGCCAGCAGCCGCGGUAAUACGUAGGUUGCAAGCGUUGUCCGGAUUUACUGGGUGUAAAGGGCGUGUAGGCGGAACUGCAAGUCAGAUGUGAAAUCCCGGGGCUCAACCCCGGAACUGCAUUUGAAACUGUAGUCCUUGAGUAUCGGAGAGGCAAGCGGAAUUCCUAGUGUAGCGGUGAAAUGCGUAGAUAUUAGGAGGGACACCAGUGGCGAAGGCGGCUUGCUGGACGACAACUGACGCUGAGGCGCGAAAGCGUGGGGAGCAAACAGGAUUAGAUACCCUGGUA